rnacentral:rRNA from 1 species
GCUCAGAAACUUAAAUAGAAUUGACGGGGAGCACCACAACGGGUGGAGCCUGCGGUUUAAUUGGAUUCAACGCCGGACAACUCACCGGAUACGACAGCGGAAUGAUAGCCGGGCUGAAGACUCUGCUUGACUAGCUGAGAGGAGGUGCAUGGCCGUCGUCAGUUCGUACUGUGAAGCAUCCUGUUAAGUCAGGCAACGAGCGAGACCCACGCCAACAGUUGCCAGCAUGAUCUCCGGAUUGAUGGGGACACUGUUGGGACCGCCUCUGCUAAAGGGGAGGAAGGAAUGGGCAGCGGUAGGUCAGCAUGCCCCGAAUUAUCCGGGCUACACGCGGGCUACAAUGGAUGGGACAAUGGGUUUCGACACCGAAAGGUGAAGGUAAUCUCCUAACCCCACCCGUAGUUCGGAUUGCGGGCUGCAACUCGCCCGCAUGAAGCUGGAAUCCGUAGUAAUCGCGUCUCACGAUGGCGCGGUGAAUGUGUCCCUGCUCCUU